CUGUAGGAGCAAACUUUCCAGGCUUGAGUUGGAGCUGCAAAGCUGCUGGUUUCCUAUGGUGGUGAGAUUGUUGGAGCUGAGAUCCAUGUACCUCGUGAGCACUCCAAUAUGCGCUGGAACCUCACCCGUGAAUUUGUUGUAGGCGGCAUCGAUCCUCUCAACGACGGGAAAGAAGCUGCUCAAGCUGGAGUUGUGCGAGCGCUGGCUUGCUCCAAACAGCGAGAAGAAAUCCCCGGAGAAGGCGUUGCGAGCGAUAGCGAGAACUUUCAGUGAGGUACAUCUGCUUUCGGGAGCGAAUAACUCUCCCGAUAUCUGGUUGAACGAGAUGUUGAUACUAAUCAGGUUUUUGCAGCCGGGGAAAACGAUCUGAGAGAGAUUGUUGCUGGACAGGAAGACCUUUUGAAGAUCAACGCAAGUGGAGAGGAUCCUGGGAGGAAACUCGCCGACGAGCCGGUUGUUUGAGACGUCCAAGAGCGUCAAGUUGCAAGACCUCUCCCGGGAGAAGAGGGGCAAGGCAAGCAUAUCAUCGCCAGUGAGCUCGUUGGAAGAAAGGUUGAGAGCUCUGAUCGUCCCGCCGCAGUUCUCGAGGAUCUGAAGCAGAAGAUUAUCAUCGCCAGUGAGCUUGUUUUGAGACAAGUCGAGAGCUUCCAGGUUGCAACCUCGUAGCGAACGAUUGGUGGACGACCCGGUGAAAUUGCUCUGAGAGAUGUGGAGCUUCUCUAGAUGGGACAGGUCUUGGAUCGCAUCCAGCAGAGCAGGCCUGGGCAGUGAUAGUGACUGAAGAUCAAGUCCAGUGAUCCGGCCCGAGCUGGAGCAGUUGACUCCAUGCCAGUGACACGAAUCUACGGCAGAACUCGUGUUCCAGGUACUGAGUGUGGAUAAUGGAUCGCUCACCUGGUUCUUAAAGCUCAAGAGCGUUGCACGAUCUUCGCCUUUUGCAGCUGCCAGUGACAGAAGCACGAGAAUUGCGAGCAACAUUCUCCCAAACAACCGAGUAAAGUGACUUGUGACCCCAGUGUCAAAUUUGUUUCUUUUAUCAGCCACAUCAAUCAU
rnacentral:lncRNA from 1 species